rnacentral:rRNA from 1 species
CUACGGGCUGCAGCAGUGAGGAAUAUUGCACAAUGGGGGGAACCCUGAUGCAGCAACGCCGCGUGGAGGAUGACGCAUUUCGGUGUGUAAACUCCUUUUAUAUGUCAAGAAAAUGACGGUAGCAUAUGAAUAAGCACCGGCUAACUCCGUGCCAGCAGCCGCGGUAAUACGGAGGGUGCAAGCGUUACUCGGAAUCACUGGGCGUAAAGGACGCGUAGGCGGGUUGGAAAGUCAGGUGUGAAAUCCUACAGCUUAACUGUAGAACUGCACUUGAAACUUCUAAUAUAGAGUAUGGGAGGGGGAGAUGGAAUUAGUGGUGUAGGGGUAAAAUCCGUAGAUAUCACUAGGAAUACCUAAAGCGAAGGCGAUCUCCUGGAACAUUACUGACGCUAAGGCGUGAAAGCGUGGGGAGCAAACAGGAUUAGAUACCCGUGUAGUC